rnacentral:rRNA from 1 species
AUUGAACGCUGGCGGCAGGCCUAACACAUGCAAGUCGAGCGGAUGAAGGGAGCUUGCUCCUGGAUUCAGCGGCGGACGGGUGAGUAAUGCCUAGGAAUCUGCCUGGUAGUGGGGGAUAACGUCCGGAAACGGGCGCUAAUACCGCAUACGUCCUGAGGGAGAAAGUGGGGGAUCUUCGGACCUCACGCUAUCAGAUGAGCCUAGGUCGGAUUAGCUAGUUGGUGGGGUAAAGGCCUACCAAGGCGACGAUCCGUAACUGGUCUGAGAGGAUGAUCAGUCACACUGGAACUGAGACACGGUCCAGACGCCUACGGGAGGCCGCAGUGGGGAAUAUUGGGCAAUGGGCGAAAGCCUGAUCCAGCCAUGCGGCGUGUGUGAAGAAGGUCUUCGGAUUGUAAAGCACGUUAAGUUGGGAGGAAGGGCAGUAAGUUAAUACCUUGCUGUUUUGACGUUACCAACAGAAGAAGCACCGGCUAACUUCGUG